rnacentral:rRNA from 1 species
UUUUAGAAAUUAAUUUAAAGUCUAGCCUGCCCACUGAAUAAUUUUAAAUGGCCGCAGUAUCCUAACUGUGCAAAGGUAGCAUAAUCAUUAGUCUUUUAAUUGAAGGCUGGAAUGAAUGGUUGGAUGAAAUAUUAACUGUUUCAUAAAAAUUUAUAAUAGAAUUUUAUUUUUUAGUCAAAAAGCUAAAAUUAAAUUAAAAGACGAGAAGACCCUAUAAAUCUUUAUAUUUAGAUAAUUUUAAUUAUUUAGAUAAAUUAAAUUAUAAUUAUUUUAAAUAUUUUAUUGGGGUGAUAUUAAAAUUUAAUAAACUUUUAAUUUAUAAUGUACAUAAAUUAAUGAAUUAUUGAUCCAUUUAUUAUGAUUAAAAAAUUAAGUUACUUUAGGGAUAACAGCGUAAUUUUUUUAGAGAGUUCAUAUUGAUAAAAA